UAAUUUUAUUACCCAUUCUCACAUUAACCCUAACUAAACACAACACACCCCUACUCCCCAACCCUAGCCGCCACUAACUCCCUUCCCCCAAUCACACACACGGCAGAAAGAAAGAAAAGAGAGGAGAGGGAAAAAAUGAGAAGAGGAGAGGGAAGGAGGGAAACACGCCAGCGUCGGUGGGCCUCGUCACCGCCAUCGCCGCCAUACCAACUGGGAGAGAGAGAGAGAGAGAGAGAGAGUUCGCAGAGGAGAGAGCCAGAGGAGAGGAAGAAUGGCGCUGUCCCGCCAUUCCUCAUCACGGGUGAAGCUCGUCGCCACCGCUGCUGCUGUCUGCGCUGUCAUCAUCGUCGAGAGAAGUUGUCGUCGUCGUCCUCAUCUGAACCAGUGCCAUCGCUACUAGCUUCCACCAUCGUUGAGGUUGUUGCAAAUGGGAGAGGAUGAAGCUGCCUCUGUCGCCGCCAUGGGGAGCUGAGUCUCGUCGCCGUCAUCGUUGCAAGAGGCAUUGUUGUUGUUGUCGGGUCCAGCCACCGCUAUCAUGCGUUCCGCCGCCACUACUGGAGAGGCGUUGCUGAGCCUCUACCGCCGGAAAAUGGCACUGUCGUCGCCGAGAUUCACUGCCAAUAAGAGUUUUGUAUUUGGUUUCCAUUCUUUUGAAUUCCAGGAAGAUUAUUGUUGCUGCAUGGUUGUCACAGUUGCUGUCACCGAGCUUCUGGUCGCCACUGUUGUUUGGGAUAGUUGUUGGAGCUGCAGCCAGAUCGGUGCUUUUUUCUUUUACUACAGAAAGUAUCUCUGUCUCAAAACCCUCGUCAAAUAAGCGGAAUUGUGGAUGCAGCCGCUACUGUUGCGAGCCAUGGGAAAAAGGGACUUAUCACGUUAGAAUCGUUGCAAGCUUGAUUCCUCGAGAUUUUCUUUUCAGUGACACGUUUAGGAAGCUAAGCUUUGGCCCGGAGCCACACCGAUCUUCAAAGCUUUAUAUAUGUUGUAUUUUCUAUUUGUUAGUUUAGUUGAGAUUUUUUACCCUUCGUCGUUUGUCAUCUAAGAUUUUUAGAAGGGCUGAACUUGUAUUUGAGAAAGAUUGAAUAAGUUUAUAUAUUUAUUAUUAUGUAGAUAUAAUUAUGUAAUUAUGUGGUUUAAAUUAAAGUCUUUUGGUUUUCAUAAUUAAUAACUUUGAUUAUAUUCGCAAAUGCUCAAUAUUAAAUAAAUAUAAUAUGAAAUCAGAGUAGAGGUAGGUAACGCCAGGACUUUUAGUGCGAUAAUGAGGUGUUAAAAGUUAUAGCGUACAUGGUGGUGAUGGCGGUGAUGGCGGCCGAGGAUGUGAACAACUAGGUGCAAAUGGAGGAGACGUCACUGAAGCACCAUUGAAUGAGCCGCUUGACAUAUGGUGCAUGGAAAAGUACACGUCACUCACUGUGUUCUUCCACUAGCUGAAUUCCACAUACCGUAUGUCGACAGUCUGUUAGAGAUGAGUGAUCUCCCUCUCGUACCACAGACGAGCAUGCCUCUAUGCCUUCUGCUCAUGCUAGUGCCUACAACACUGUAUUGCUCCAACUGUUGUGUCAGCCUAUUGAAUAGGGUAACCUGCUCCCUAAGGCAAGCCAAGACACUAGCUCAUCAACAUUAGAGAAACACAAAAUAUGGUAGUGAAAAUGUGUUAUAUCUUGUACACCCUCCCCGACUUGCGUUUGCCUACUGUCUACGUUCACAAAGUAUCCUCCGAGACUGGCGGGGUUCUAGGCCCCUCUCAAGUCUCGAGGAUCUGGGUCGCAUUGUCCAUGUGGGCUUUCACUACUGUCUCCUUAAAGAGGCGCUUAAUUAAUAGUGGAGAAGUUUUAGCAUUAUUUAAUUAUAUACACUUAAUUUGAAUAAUUGUUAGGAUGUAAAACUCAAGGCGGUCCUCCUUCUUGGUGUGGGUCCUCUCAAAUGGCUAUCUCUAAUAAGGUGGUGUCAAGCUCACCCUCUUUUCAAUACAAAUAAAAAAAACUUGAAGUCAUUAGACAUUGUAUAUGUAAAUGAUAAAGCAAAAUGAUCGCUAACACAAUUAAUUCACAUAGCUUUAAAUCAUUUGAUAUCUUAACUAAUACUAACCAUUUUUUGGCCAUUGUAGCAUAAGUGAUGGAUCCUGCAUAGUGCAAAGAUCCUCCAUAUGCUAGAUGCCCUUAGGAGUGUUAUCGAUUCGGUUUGGUUCGGUUUUGGACAAAAAACCAACCGAAUCGAUAUGUUCGGUUCUUACAGACACACAACUAUUCAGUUUGCUAUUUUGUUGGUUU